rnacentral:rRNA from 1 species
GACGAACGCUGGCGGCGUGCUUAACACAUGCAAGUCGAACGGAAAGGCCCUGCGCUUGCGGGGUGCUCGAGUGGCGAACGGGUGAGUAACACGUGAGUAACCCGCCCUUGUCUUUGGGAUAACUCCAGGAAACAGGGGCUAAUACCGGAUAGGAUAUCCUGCUGCAUGGGGUGGGAUGGAGAAUGACGGCGGUGGGGGAUGGACUCGCUGCUUAUGCGCUGGUUUGUGGGGUAGUGGCUGUCCAAGGUUACGACGGGUAGCCGGCAUGAGAGGUUGACCGGCCACAUUGGGACUGAGAUACGGACCAGAAUCGUACGGGAGGCAGAAGUGGGGAGUCUUGCACAAUGGGCGGAAGUCUGAUGCAGCAACGCCGCGUGCGGGAUGACGGCCUUCGGGUUGUAAACAGCUUUCGCAUGUGACGAAGAGUGAGUGACGGUAAUGGGUAAAGAAGCACCGGCUAACUACGUG